rnacentral:tRNA from 1 species
GGUUUAAUAUUUUAAUAUAGAGAAUGUAGUUUUGAAGCAGCUAAAGUGAAAAUCAUUUCUUAAACCA